GACAAUGUCGUUUGACAGCUGGCCAGUGGAUCGCAUGCGCCAAAAGACGCUGCUGAAUGAAUAGGAGGGAAAUCACCAACGACCCAAUAACCUCGGGCGCCUUGCAUGUCAUCUGCUCAAAUUAUGACCAUCUCGCCGCCUCUGCUUUCUCUAACAAAGAUAUCUGUUUCCUGGACCUUGAAUGGCGCUGGUCACCGUUCAGCGUUCGCCAACACCCAGCGUUAGCUCCAGUCCCUGCCUUUCGGAGGCAGACAGUGGUGAGGAUGAUCGUCGCUCCCAGCCCCGGAGAAGGUCCUAGAGGAGGAAUCUGACUAUCUCCUCAAUGCAUUUUGAAAAGGAAGCUAGGAGAGAGGACGUAAGGAGAGAGGACGUAAGGAGAGAGGACGUAAGGAGAGAGGACGUAAGGAGAGAGGACGUAAGGAAACACAAUCGAGAUUCA
rnacentral:lncRNA from 1 species